UUUUUUUUUUUUUUUUUUUGAUGUCCACUGUCCAAACAAAUGGAGGUUGGAAUAAAAAUCUUGGAGCACCUCCUCAAAUUAAAAAAUCACUCCCAGAAGAAACUAAUUCAUGUUUUCACUCGAUAGCACGUAGCAGACAUGAUAAUGAAUAACAGCGUUAUAAUGGAAGAGACAAGGAAUAAAAAUAAAUCACCUUGGUGCUAUAAUUAACAACAGAAAUGAGACCAGAACUCACAAGAAUUUUUCUUUUCUUGGCUGAAAAAAUCUAGUAUUUAAAUAUUAAUUAAAUUUGAUAUGAUGCAUAUAGGAGAUACAAAGAUAAUAGUGUGAUAUAUAUUAUAUAUGAAGAGGCGAGAGAUUAUAAAGGUUGUUAUUCAAGAUGUAAACAGCAUGAAAAGCAAAAUAAAACACUAACAAUCUUUUGAAAAAAUAAGCUUAUAACAAAUAUAUUACAGGGAUGGAAAUACACAUGUCUUAAUAUAGUACCAAUCAAAAUAACUAAUGGUGACUCGAAGCUAUAAGAGAAAGAGUGUCAAACAUCAAACUUGUCAGAAUCACCAGUGUGAAUUAGAAAUAAGCAAAUACUCAAACCUCUGUUCCUGAUUUGCCCAUUGCAAAUCCAAUGUCUGCCUUACGCAAAGCCGGAGCAUCAUUGGUCCCAUCACCGGUUACUGCCACAACUUCUCCAAACAUAUUCCUCAAAUUAGUUACCAAGGUGUGUUUGUCCACAGGUGAAGAUCGAGCCAUCACCUGAAUGUUGGGUAUGAUGCUCCUCAUCUCCUCAGAAGUCUUGCUACGUAAGUCUGUUGCUUCCCAGGCCAAGCCAUCCUCAGUAAGUAUGCCACAUUCUUUGGCUAUAGCUUUAGCUGUAUUUAUAUUAUCACCAGUUACCAUACGAACAGUAAUUCCAGCUUCUAAACAAGUCCGAACAGCAUCCUUGACUCCAGGGCGCACCGGAUCCUUGAUUCCAAUGAUGGCUACCAAUGUGUAGCCAAAAUCAGGGAUGCUGCUUUCUUCAGAAGUGUCAUCUAGAUCUUUAAAAGCCAAGCAUAGAGUUCUCAGAGCUUCAGAGGCAAAGCCAUUUAUAACAUCUGAGAUAUUCCUCUUCUGUUCUUCAGACAGGUUAGCAACUUUUCCACUAUCAUCAACAACCUUGUCACACAUUUUUAAUACUAUUUCAGAUCCACCUUUGCAAGAUGCCUGCAACCUGCCUUCAGGAAAAGCCACAAGCACAGACAUUUUUUUCCUGACUGAACUGAAAGGCUCAACCUUGAGUAUCUGAAACUCUUUCCGCUGUGCAUCAAAAUCACCACCCAAAAGCAAACCAAAUUCUAGCAGUGCUUUUUCUGUUGGUGUUCCAAAAAUUGUAAUCUGUCCAUCUUCAUCCUUACUUAUUUCACAACCUGUAUUUUGAAAUAUAACCUGCAAAAGGAAGCUCAAGACACUUUCAGAUAUUUCCAAUCCCAAAAUGCCUUCACUGUUAUUGUUGUUAAUAGCUUUAGCUUUUCCACAUAUCCAUAUUUUAUCAACUACCAUGUGGUUAGUGGUUAAGGUCCCUGUUUUAUCCGUGCAUAUACAACUAGCAGAGCCCAUUGUCUCACAUGCAGAGAGAUGCCUGACUAGCGCCUUGUCAUACAUCAUUUUUUUCAUUGCAAAGGCAAGACUCAAAGUCACUGCCAAUGGUAAUCCUUCAGGAACAGCAACAACAAUUAUGGUUACUGCAAUAGCAAAGUAGUCCAGAAGUGUGAAUGCAUCAUAUGAAGACCAAUGCGUGAAUUCCUUAUGAAGUGCUUUCUCCACCAAAAACCUUGCAGUCAAUACCAAAAAUGUAAGCACAGCAAAACCCAAACCAAUCUUUCCAAUAAUGGUAGCAACACCAUUCAGCUUCACCUGUAGUGGGGUCUCAUCUUCUCCACCCUCAUUCAGAGUUUCCAUCAACUUUCCCCAUUCAGUCUUCAUACCAACAGCUGUCACUAGCAUCUUGCCUGAACCAUCUUGCACUUUGGUUCCUGAAAGAAGAAAAGGGUUUUUUUCAUCUAUAUUCACAGGUUCACUCUCCCCUGACAAGCUUGACUCAUCAAUCACUAAGCUAUAUCCCGAUAUGUAAAUCCCAUCAGCUGGAACUAUGUCUCCAGUAGAUAAUUGAACAACAUCUCCAAUAACCAAAUCAUAAAUGGAGACUUUUUGUGUUCUCCCAUCCCUUAUUACUUGGAUAGAAAUCUUCUUCUUCUCCUUGUCCAGGUCCCUGAAUUGCAAGGACUGCUUAUAGUCACUAAUAGCAGUAACCAUGACUACCAAGAAUACACUGAGUAUGAUUCCUAAACCAUCAUACAUGCCCUUUGGCCAUCCUUCAGUAGCAAUUCCUACACCUACAGAAACCACAGCACAAACCAUAAGGAUUAUUAGUGUCAAGUCCUGCAGCGCUUCCCAAACAAACAUCCAAAAACUCUUAGGAGGCUUUUCAGUAUAACGGUUGCACCCAUAAAUCUUUUGCCUGUUAGGUAAGCUGCUCUCGUGGAUGCCAUUUUUCAGUGAGACAGAAACUCGCCUUGCAAUCCCUUCAACUCCGCCAUUGGCUCUCAAAGCCUUAAUAUCAUGGUCACGAGUGACAGAUGCAAGUUCAUCUGGCUCAAUUUCAAAACCUGCUUGUCUGACCUCAUCUGAAAGCUUGUGUUCAGCUGGCAAACCAACUGCUGCAGCAGCAUCAAUGAAGUGCAGAGCUGCUUUUUUGACAUACAAAGCAACUCGUAUCUUUUCCUGGAUGCUCCUUUUCUUCUUCUCGGCUACAGAUCGCUUGACGAGAUCGGCGACAUGACGGAACCUUCGCCGUGGAUUCUUGACGAUGGACACCGCGUUUCUCCAUCUCCGCAAGGCUUCCUCAGAUGGAUUUUUGUGCUCCACUUCAAAGUCCUUCAACAGGCUCUCCAUUCUCCUGAUGACUGUAAAGUCUACAAAUGAAAAUUUCGCGGACGGAGAAGGCCAACAGUGCUAAGAGGCUAUUCGGUUUGAGGGAAAGAA
rnacentral:misc_RNA from 1 species